GAUGAACGCUGGCGGCGUGCCUAAUACAUGCAAGUCGAGCGAACGGACGAGAAGCUUGCUUCUCUGAUGUUAGCGGCGGACGGGUGAGUAACACGUGGAUAACCUACCUAUAAGACUGGGAUAACUUCGGGAAACCGGAGCUAAUACCGGAUAAUAUUUUGAACCGCAUGGUUCAAAAGUGAAAGACGGUCUUGCUGUCACUGAUAGAUUGAUCCGCGCCGCAUUAGCUAGUUGGUAAGGUAACGGCUUACCAAGGCAACGAUGCGUAGCCGACCUGAGAGGGUGAUCGGCCACACUGGAACUGAGACACGGUCCAGACUCCUACGGGAGGCAGCAGUAGGGAAUCUUCCGCAAUGGGCGAAAGCCUGACGGAGCAACGCCGCGUGAAUGAUGAAGGUCUUCGGAUCGUAAACCUCUGUUAUUAGGGACGAACAUAUGUGUAAGUAAAUGUACACAUCUUGACGGUACCUAAUCAGAAAGCCACGGCUAACUACGUG
rnacentral:rRNA from 1 species